rnacentral:rRNA from 1 species
CGCGUAGGCGGCUUUGACAGUCGGGCGUGAAAUUCCUGGGCUCAACCUGGGGACUGCGUUCGAGACGUUAAGGCUUGAGUGGGGAAGAGGGUCGUGGAAUUCCCAGUGUAGAGGUGAAAUUCGUAGAUAUUGGGAAGAACACCGGUGGCGAAGGCGGCGACCUGGUCCUUGACUGACGCUGAGGCGCGAAAGCGUGGGGAGCAAACAGGAUUAGAUACCCUGGUAGUCCACGCCGUAAACGAUGUGCGCUGGAUGUUGGGGGGCCUAGCCCUUCCAGUGUCGUAGCUAACGCGGUAAGCGCACCGCCUGGGGAGUACGGCCGCAAGGUUGA